UUAACUGUGAAUUCUGGGAUGGUGAUGGCGCCCUACUGUAGAUGUUGUUGACGUUAGCUGCUAAGCCAUUUCGAGGUCCAUACAAUGCAAGUGAAUGGUGACCAGAACUUUGAAGCUCCAAAAAUCACAAAGUCAGCAAAAAGUGAUCCAUAAGGUUUAAUCCAUGUCUUCUGAAGCGAUCUAAACGGCUUUGGGUGAGAACAGACCAAAAUAUACUUGAACAUCAGAUAGAGCUCAGCGAGCUGCCGUACAAUACGCCUGUUAAAAGAUGGAUGAUGACGGCGCCCUGCAUCGACUAGAAGGAAGUGACCCCAGCGUGCAGGUCGGGGUGCUGAUAGUGAAGAAGAAGAGCACUUCAGCAGAACAGCACGUGUUCAGAACACCUGCUCCUCACACCUCACUCCUGGGCCUGGAUCAGCUGGCUGCCCAGAAACGCAAGGAGCAUGAGGGAAAAGAAAAGCUGGAUACAGAUACUCAGCCCAAAAAAUCCAAGGUGUCAUCGUACAAGGACUGGGAGGAGGGGAAAAGUGAUUCUGGGUCUGAUGAUGAAAAUGAGGAGGAUGGUGAGAGCAGGAAUGGGAAAAAGGAAAGAAAGUACCGCGUCACUGGCUCAGAAACUCCGUCAAACCCUGGAGGAGUUAGUGAGGAGUUCAGGUGUAAACAUCAACAGAGGGAGAAAGAUAGACGUGAACAUGGGGUUUAUGCUUCUUCCAAAGAAGACAGGAGCAGAGAAAAAGAUAGAGACCAGCCCAGAGACAGGAAGCGAGAUCAAGACCGCUACCGAGACAGAGAAAGAAGAAAAGACAGAGAUGAACGGGAAAGCAGCCACAGUCGAGGAUCCAGCAGCAGUCGCUCUGAGCGUGGGGAUGUCAGUGUGAGGAGUGAGUGUUCACAGAGGGAUGGCUGGUCUGAGCGCAUCAGCCGGGGUAGUCGCCGUGAUGAGCCUGAUACACCACGUAACAGACCCAAAGACUUGGCCACUCCAUCACGCUGCAGCUGGGAUGAAGAUGAUUGUGGAUUUGGCAGCUCACGCCAGUCACACUGGGAGAGCCCCUCUCCUGCCUCCUCACACCGAGAGUAUGACCGCUCAGUCCGCGACAGUGAAAGAAGAGACAAGUCAAGCAGAGCUCAAUAUCUAGCAGACACUCCUCUGCCAACUCCCUCAUACAAAUACAAUGAGUGGGCCAAUGACAGGAAACAUCUGGGCUCCACCCCUCGUCUUUCCCAAGGGAAAGGAGAUAAAAGGGAAGAUGGAGAGAAUGGCAUCCUUUUUAAUAAUGAGGAAGAGAAGGAACAGUGGGAGGAAGAUCAGAGGCAAGCUGAUAGGGACUGGUACAUGAUGGACGAGGGCUAUGAUGAGUUCCACAACCCCCUGAUGUCCAGCUCCGAAGAAUAUGUGAAGAAGAGGGAGCAGAUCCUGCAGAAACAGACCCAGAAGCGCAUCUCAGCACAGAAACGCCAGAUAAAUGAGGAUAAUGAAUGCUGGGAGACCAACCGCAUGCUCACCAGUGGAGUGGUUCAGUGCUUGGAGGUGGACGAGGAUUUUGAAGAAGACAAUGCCGCCAAAGUCCACCUGCUUGUCCAUAACCUUUUGCCUCCUUUCCUGGACGGCAGGAUUGUCUUCACUAUGCAGCCUGAACCAGUCAUUCCAGUGAAAGACGCGACCUCAGACAUGGCCAUCAUCUCCCGCAAGGGCAGUCAGCUUGUUCGACGUUACAGAGAGCAGAAAGAAAGGAAAAAGGCACAACACAAACACUGGGAGCUGGCGGGCACCAAACUAGGUGACAUCAUGGGCAUUAAAAAAACAGAGGAUGGAUCAGGUGGAAAGACUGUAGGAGAGGAUGGAGCUGUGGAUUAUAGAACGGAGCAGAAGUUUGCUGAUCACAUGAAGGAAAAAAAUGAGGCGAGCAGUGAGUUUGCUAAGAAGAAGACUCUGCUCGAGCAGAGACAGUACCUACCCAUCUUUGUUGUUCGCCAGCAACUGCUCAAUAUCAUCAGGGAUAACAGUAUUGUGAUCGUAGUGGGGGAAACAGGCAGUGGUAAGACGACUCAGCUGACACAGUAUCUUCAUGAGGACGGUUACACCGGCUAUGGCAUGGUGGGCUGCACACAGCCCCGCAGAGUGGCCGCCAUGAGUGUGGCAAAGAGAGUCAGUGAGGAAAUGAACAGUAACCUUGGAGAGGAUGUUGGUUAUGCUAUCCGUUUUGAGGACUGCACAUCAGAGAAGACUGUAAUUAAGUACAUGACUGAUGGGAUUCUUCUGAGAGAGUCUCUACGGGAGUCAGACCUGGACCACUACAGUGCCAUUAUCAUGGAUGAAGCCCACGAGCGCUCACUCAACACUGAUGUUCUCUUCGGGUUGCUGCGAGAGGUGGUGUCUAGACGCUCAGACUUGAAGCUCAUUGUCACCUCUGCCACCAUGGAUUCGGACAAAUUUGCGGCAUUCUUCGGCAAUGUUCCUAUUUUCCACAUUCCCGGCAGGACUUUCCCAGUCGAUAUCUUGUUCAGUAAGACUCCUCAAGAGGAUUAUGUGGAGGCGGCUGUGAAACAGGCCUUACAGAUACAUCUCAGCGGGAUGACUGGGGACAUCCUCAUCUUCAUGCCUGGUCAGGAGGACAUUGAGGUGACGUCAGAUCAGAUUGUAGAGCGAUUGGAGGAUCUAGACAAUGCUCCGCCCCUGGCAGUGCUGCCCAUCUACUCCCAGCUUCCCUCUGACCUGCAGGCCAAAAUCUUCCAGAAGGCUGCUGAUGGAGUGAGGAAAUGUAUAGUUGCUACAAACAUUGCUGAGACAUCUCUGACCGUGGAUGGCAUCAUGUUUGUGGUGGAUUCAGGUUACUGCAAACUGAAGGUUUUCAAUCCUCGCAUUGGAAUGGAUGCCCUACAGCCAUACCCCAUCAGUCAAGCCAGUGCCAACCAGCGGGCUGGCAGAGCUGGCAGAACAGGGCCCGGACAAUGUUACAGGUUAUACACUCAAAGUGCCUUCAAGAAUGAAAUGCUGACCACCACUAUUCCAGAGAUCCAGCGUACCAACCUGGCAAAUGUUGUCCUGCUGCUGAAGUCUCUGGGAGUGCAAGAACUUCUGCUCUUUCACUUCAUGGACCCUCCACCUGAAGACAACAUGCUGAACUCCAUGUACCAGCUGUGGAUUUUGGGUGCUCUGGACAACACAGGUGCUCUGACACCCACUGGGCGGCUCAUGGUGGAGUUUCCUCUGGAUCCGGCUCUGUCUAAAAUGCUGAUUGUGUCAUGUGACAUGGGCUGCAGUGCUGACAUCCUCAUCAUUGUCUCCAUGCUAUCAGUGCCAUCCAUCUUCUACAGACCAAAGGGUCGAGAAGAGGAGAGCGACCAGGUGAGAGAGAAGUUCUCAGUGCCUGAGAGUGAUCACCUGACCUACCUCAACGUUUACCUGCAGUGGAAGAACAACAAUUACUCCAGCAUCUGGUGUAACGAUCACUUCAUCCACACUAAAGCCAUGCGCAAGGUGCGUGAGGUGCGAGCUCAGCUCAAAGACAUCAUGGUGCAGCAGAAAAUGAACCUGAUCUCCAGCGGCUCAGACUGGGAUGUGAUCAGGAAGUGCAUUUGUGCUGCAUACUUCCACCAGGCUGCUAAAUUAAAGGGAAUAGGGGAGUAUGUGAAUGUUAGAACAGGGAUGACCUGUCAUCUGCAUCCUACCAGUUCUCUGUUUGGGAUGGGCUACACCCCAGACUACAUUAUUUACCAUGAGCUGGUCAUGACCACAAAGGAGUACAUGCAGUGUGUAACGGCAGUGGACGGUGAGUGGCUGGCAGAGCUGGGGCCUAUGUUCUACAGUAUCAAACAUGCAAACAAGAGCAGACAGGAGAACCGACGGAGAGCCAAGGAGGAGGUCUCCAAUAUGGAGGAGGAGAUGUCAAUGGCUCAAGAGCAGAUCAGGGCACGGAAAGAAGCGCAGGAGAAGAAGAGCAAUCUUGGCAGCGUCAGUCUUCGAAGACAGACAGCUGGCUCUAUCGAGGACAGAAAGAGAUGUGGAAGGCCCAGAUGAACAACUAAACAAGAGGAUAAGUACAUCAGAGUCUCUAGUUUGAGAAAUAGACGCCUCACAUGUCCUCAGUUGACAGCUUCAUUGAAUUCUACUCAACACCAGUUUCAUGUACAACAGUAAAGAGAAGACUCAGGGGUCCAGGCCUUAUUGGAAGAAUUGCAGUAGUAGGUCAACGAAGAUUUUCACUCCAGGAAGGAGAGAGGACACACCCAUGACACCAAAGCGAACACCUGCACAAUUUGGCUUGUAGUGCUUAGUAUCAACGAUUUCAAAAACAUAAUAUUGCAAAUAUGCCAUCAUGCUCAAAGUUAUUUGGAAAUGGUAUAAUUGCUACCAUAAAUUUGAUUUAUUUAAAAAUGAUUAUCACAAUGCUUGUCACAUGCAGUUCCCUGGGUUGACCAGCAGUAGGAGCAAUUGUAUAAGGAGAAAAUGCUCAUCCCUUCAGACAAAGUGAUUUGUGUCUCUCUUGAAAUGUCUGGACUGACAAAAAAAAAAAAAAAGGUGGAUGCAAUGAUACAAAAGCAAACACCUGUGUCAUUCUUAGAUUUGAACAUACUUGCCCAAAAUAAUUGACUGAUUUUCUCUCUCUCACACACACACACACACACAAAAAUAGCUUUAUAAUUUUUUAUUAGAAUAAAAGCGUUUUUUUUGUGUUUUUUUUCAUUGGAUUCUGUGUUUGUGUAAACAAGAGCGGCAGCAUUUAUUCAUGGACUGCUGAAAUAUUCACUUGAUCAUUGAAUUAUAAUUCAAAUUCAGUUGUCUUUCGGCUUGUGAAAUGUGGAUGUUGUGCUGUUCUUUCAUAGAACACAGAGCAGCCAUGAAUAUUAACUUCCUGUACUUUGAUAGGUCAAUCCGCUGUGGAUGUACCAUGUCUUUGUUAUUUUGACAAGAACAUUGCUGGAAUCAACACUGACCAGGGAGGGGUCAUAUUUUGCACAGGCUUUUAUGCAAUUGGGCUGUAAGUCAUUGAAUGCAUGUACUGUGCGCAGACAGCGAUGACAUGCCUACUGCUGUGAAUUCCCCUAAAAAAUAAAAUACAGAAUAAUUAGCCACUUUCCACAGAGGGUCAUUCUACUUUUUUUUUUUUUUUUCUGAUCGUCAUAGCUCAUCUGCUCUGUUUCUGUUUGUGAGCUUUGACUGGGGUCCAGUGAACUGAUAUAGUUUUCAUUUUUGAUGUGUACAAUAUAUCUGUAUAUUGUUUAUUGUCUGAUCUGUAGUGUUUGUCUGAUAUGCAGUAGUAGAAACCUGUUUUGACAACUUUUUGGUUACUUCAGCUUUUGGAAAGACUGAACAUGGGAAUAACCAUAUUUUUAAAGUGUGAAAAGUUCACUUUAUGUGUGAUUUGUUUUAUAUUGAACAGUCUUUGCUUUGUUACUUUUACUUGUAAAGUGGUAAAUGGAGCACGUCCAGAUCAUAAGUUCCCAUACUAAUCUCUGAUAUAACACUCUGCAGAGACCCCUUAGCUCAGCAUCCUUAGGUUUAAUGAUGGCUUUUGAGUUCAUGUUUAAAUUCAUAUGUUUACAUUUUGAUUUGCAGAACAAAUUGCAAUAAUUUGGAAAUACUAUUAGUUGACACACUGUAUGUACAGUAUAGGGUGCUAUAAAGUUGGGUGGGGUUUUACCAGAUACACAGAAAACACUAUAUAAAAAUUAUUUGCAACACAA